AGCAGUCUCAACAACAUUGCAAACUUCACAAACAUCACAUGGAUUGUUAUCUCAACCAAAUGGUGACGUAGAAGCAGCUUUUGCUUAAGAGCCCCAACCGCUUCAUAAGCUCAUAUUUGCGUAAAGUGAAAAAUGGUUUCAAACAAAUGGAAAUCGACAUAACAAGUCGUGUAAUCUACUUGAGAGACAUUCUUUGUUUAAACGUUUGCAAUUACUGCCUUCACUGCCGGCUAAACUGAAAACUUUAAUAUGAAGCUCAAGAUGUUCAAUAUUAUGCAAUCCACAAAAGUAUUUUGGCAAUAUGAAUUCAGCUUGAUGAUGAUUGUGAUUCCAUAAUCCAACCUUUAAAGAAGAUAUUAAAGCAAGAAUUUCAAACUGGAAAUCUGUUACAAAAGCUAAUUGAAAUAUUCUUACUGCAGAAACGAUGAAUUCUUCUACUUCUACACGUUUGCAUGAUCAAAGCAACGUGGUGUAAUUGAAUCUAGAUUUGCGUCAUGAUGAUAAAUUUAGAUUUCCUUAAUGAUCUUACUACCGUUUAUAUUCAGAUAUUAUGGAUAGAAAGGAAAGAAUUUUUCUGUAGUAGGUUAUGAAUGACUGCAAUACAUUUCCACACUUUGAUCAAAGGUCGUGCCGACUCUGGUAUAGAUUCUAAUGACACACGAGUAGUGUUUGGAGCCCCAUGUUGUCACGUUUUGGCAAUGUCUAAUAUAUAUUAAUCAACGGAAUGCACCGAAUGUAAUAAUAAAAAUAUGCCGGCUGUCAUCUGUGGGAAGCUAAUAGACGCACUACUACACAUCUCGAAAUCAAUUUCGCAGAUAGUUAAACUGUGCAAGGAAUGCUUGAGUUGCCGAUUCCAGUCUGAACGAUGUGAUUACUAACUCGUGCGGUUCAGUGAGAUUGAAGUAAGGGAGUGAUUCAAGUCAGUGCUCCCGGGGGCCGAACGUCCAUUUCCUGUUGCAUCAGAGUAUGAAAGUGACUUAUAUGUAGAAGAAAGCUUAGUAGCCUGUUUUCCGCGACGUAUUAUGAAUCUGGCGAUUUCUUUUGGGCACGGUCCCAUUUUUGGAAAACGCAAUCGUGCACAAAUUUUGGGACCACGACGUGCGUCGAAUAGCCAACAGACUUGACUGGUGGAUUGUACCGAUACUCUUCUUAUCGUCAAUAGGAGCGUUUGUGGCGUAAAUCUAGAAGACCUGUGAGUGAUGGCUGCAUGGGCGUCGACUUAAAUCGUAGUUUCGAAUAGCUAUGGGGACGUAAGCAGUUGGUUAUUUUUAAUCGUUGGAACAUGUUUCCAAUAACAGAAACUAUUUAAGAAUUAAAACAUGAUCCUUGCUCAAGUCAAUAUUGUGGCACACUCACCCUCUAUCUGAACCAGAAGUUGAACGGUUAACAAGGUUUAUUAAUAGUAAUAUUCUGGAAGGUUCUAUUAAGAUUUAUAUAGCAUUACAUUCGACGCCAUAAGCUGUACUUUUGCCUUGGAUACAUACGAGAGAACUGCCUGCGGAUUACGACCGAUUGAUGUAUGUGGCGAAGGCUUUCGCAGAUGUUGUGUUUUGGCGAUUUUGCACUAAAUACAGAUAUGGAACCAGUGCAAAUAUUUUAAGUAUGAUAAAUAGUUUAUCUGGUGAAGCUAUACCAAUAGCCUUCACGAUUGAAUUGCCCGGUGGACGCACAAAACCAAAACAAUGAAGCGAUUUUACAUUUGUGCUUAGAGCUUUCGGAUGGUUUGGUUGGAAUGAUUGAUGCUAUUAAAGCACUUGAAAUUAUUUAAACGACCGUUUAAAACUGAAGAAUGCACACUUUUGUGAUUGGAAGACAAAUAAUUUAAAAUAAUAAUUCAAUGAAAAAUAAAUGAAGAAAUGAAAGAAAUGAAACUAAAAUAGGAAAAAGUUGUGCAUGGUUUCAACACUCUGACUUUUGUAACGUGCGCGGGUGCAGGGUGAACGGGGUCCGUCUGUCUGCUAAUCAUAUUACUGCUUUAUGAAAGAUUAAUAUGAAAUCUGCUUCUUGCUGCUUUCCAUAAUUCCAGUUUUGAUAGAUAGAAUGGAAAAAAAGGUAAACACUAGCAAUGUUGAGAUAGGGAUUGAUGGAAAGAGACAGGGCGUUCGAGGUUCGUCUGUGUUCGUCAGUCAGUUCAUUAAUUCGGUUUUUUCUCUUUGAACGGCGAGGAUGUGUAAGUUUCUUGUGGCAAGAAGCUUAUGCGAUUUUUGUAUGAAGUGAAGGACGAACGGACAGUUUGGCCGGUAACAGACAUGUAAUCAAUUACAGAAAAAGACAAGCAAAAACAUGAUCGAGCAAAAUGAAUACAAGUACGUAUGAAAGAAAGGUUUUGUAGAAUUUUUAUUCAAUAUGAA